rnacentral:rRNA from 1 species
CGGCGUGCCUAAUACAUGCAAGUCGAGCGAAUGGAUUGAGAGCUUGCUCUCAAGAAGUUAGCGGCGGACGGGUGAGUAACACGUGGGUAACCUGCCCAUAAGACUGGGAUAACUCCGGGAAACCGGGGCUAAUACCGGAUAACAUUUUGAACUGCAUGGUUCGAAAUUGAAAGGCGGCUUCGGCUGUCACUUAUGGAUGGACCCGCGUCGCAUUAGCUAGUUGGUGAGGUAACGGCUCACCAAGGCAACGAUGCGUAGCCGACCUGAGAGGGUGAUCGGCCACACUGGGACUGAGACACGGCCCAGACUCCUACGGGAGGCAGCAGUAGGGAAUCUUCCGCAAUGGACGAAAGUCUGACGGAGCAACGCCGCGUGAGUGAUGAAGGCUUUCGGGUCGUAAAACUCUGUUGUUAGGGAAGAACAAGUGCUAGUUGAAUAAGCUGGCACCUUGGCGGUACCUAACCAGAAAGCCACGGCUAACUACGUGCCAGCAGCCGCGGUAAUACGUAGGUGGCAAGCGUUAUCCGGAAUUAUUGGGCGUAAAGCGCGCGCAGGUGGUUUCUUAAGUCUGAUGUGAAAGCCCACGGCUCAACCGUGGAGGGUCAUUGGAAACUGGGAGACUUGAGUGCAGAAGAGGAAAGUGGAAUUCCAUGUGUAGCGGUGAAAUGCGUAGAGAUAUGGAGGAACACCAGUGGCGAAGGCGACUUUCUGGUCUGUAACUGACACUGAGGCGCCGAAGCGUGGGGAGCAAACAGGAUUAGAUACCCCUGGUAGUCCACCCCCU